rnacentral:rRNA from 1 species
GUGGGGAAUCUUAGACAAUGGGGGCAACCCUGAUCUAGCCAUGCCGCGUGAGUGAUGAAGGCCUUAGGGUCGUAAAGCUCUUUCGCUGGGGAAGAUAAUGACGGUACCCAGUAAAGAAACCCCGGCUAACUCCGUGCCAGCAGCCGCGGUAAUACGGAGGGGGUUAGCGUUGUUCGGAAUUACUGGGCGUAAAGCGCGCGUAGGCGGAUUGGAAAGUUGGGGGUGAAAUCCCGGGGCUCAACCCUGGAAUGGCCUUCAAAACUCCCAGUCUUGAGGUCGAGAGAGGUGAGUGGAAUUCCGAGUGUAGAGGUGAAAUUCGUAGAUAUUCGGAAGAACACCAGUGGCGAAGGCGACUCACUGGCCCGUUACUGACGCUGAGGCGCGAAAGCGUGGGGAGCAAACAGGAUUAGAAACCCGGGUAGUCC